GUGAGGAAUUUUCGUCAAUGGGGGCAACCCUGAACGAGCAACGCCGCGUGCAGGAAGAAGGUCUUCGGAUCGUAAACUGCUUUUCUCUGGGACGAGUAAGGACGGUACCAGAGGAAUCAGCCUCGGCUAACUACGUGCCAGCAGCCGCGGUAAUACGUAGGAGGCAAGCGUUGUCCGGAGUUACUGGGCGUAAAGCGCACGCAGGCGGUCUGCUGCAUCUGGCGGGACAGGGUCCGGCUUAACCGGGUCAGGCCGACAGAGAUGAGCAGACUUGAGGGCUUCAGAGGGAUGGGGAAUUCCGGGUGGAGUGGUGAAAUGCGUAGAGAUCCGGAAGAACACCAAAGGCGUAGGCACCAUCCUGGGAAGCUACUGACGCUCAGGUGCGAAAGCCAGGGGAGCGAACGGGAUUAGAUACCCCGGUAGUCC
rnacentral:rRNA from 1 species